GAUGAACGCUGGCGGCGUGCCUAAUACAUGCAAGUCGAGCGAACAGACGAGGAGCUUGCUCCUCUGACGUUAGCGGCGGACGGGUGAGUAACACGUGGAUAACCUACCUAUAAGACUGGGAUAACUUCGGGAAACCGGAGCUAAUACCGGAUAAUAUAUUGAACCGCAUGGUUCAAUAGUGAAAGACGGUUUUGCUGUCACUUAUAGAUGGAUCCGCGCCGCAUUAGCUAGUUGGUAAGGUAACGCCUUACCAAGGCAACGAUGCGUAGCCGACCUGAGAGGGUGAUCGGCCACACUGGAACUGAGCCACGCUCCAGACUCCUACGGGAGGCAGCAGUAGGGAACCUUCCGCAAUGGGCGAAAGCCUGACGGAGCAACGCCGCGUGAGUGAUGAAGGUCUUCGGAUCGUAAAACUCUGUUAUUAGGGAAGAACAGAUGUGUAAGUAACUGUGCACGUCGUGACGGUACCUAAUCAGAAAGCCACGGCUAACUACGUG
rnacentral:rRNA from 1 species